rnacentral:misc_RNA from 1 species
GAUGAAGAACGUAGCGAAAUGCGAUAAGUAAUGUGAAUUGCAGAAUUCAGUGAAUCAUCGAAUCUUUGAACGCACAUUGCGCCCGGUAGUAUUCUGCCGGGCAUGCCUGUUCGAGCGUCAUUUCAACCAUCAAGCCCCAGCGCUUGUGUUGGGGGCCUGCGGCUGCCGCAGCCCCCCAAAAGCAGUGGCGGGCUCGCUAUCACACCGAGUGCAGUAGUUCAUCUUCUCUCCGGUCUUGUGAGGCGGGUUCCGGCCGUGAAACACCCCACUACAUUCAAGGUUGACCUCGGAUCAGGUAGGGAUACCCGCUGAACUUAAGCAUAUCAAUAAGCGGAGGA